CUCUUGGGUAAUCACAACACUACAGCCCGGGAAACUGGCUUCCAACCUUUCCCUACACCUCACCCCAUAGCACAAGGACCGGACUUACGAUCAUCCUUAACUCCAAAUGAAUAUGACAAAUGCAAGUGCCUACUUGCCCACCGACACAUGCACGCCACACACCAACAAUACAGCACAUACACCCCUACAGCCAUACUGACCGCACCACCACCGCCACACCUCACACAUUCCCAGAG